rnacentral:rRNA from 1 species
AAUAGAUACCCCGGUAGUCCACGCCGUAAACGUUGGGCGCUAGAUGUGGGGGGCCAUUCCACGGUUUCCGCGGUCGUAGCUAACGCAUUAAGCGCCCCGCCUGGGGAGUACGGCCGCAAGGCUAAAACUCAAAGGAAUUGACGGGGGCCCGCACAAGCGGCGGAGCAUGCGGAUUAAUUCGAUGCAACGCGAAGAACCUUACCAAGGCUUGACAUAUACGAGAACACUGCAGAAAUGUAGGACUCUUUGGACACUCGUAUACAGGUGGUGCAUGGUUGUCGUCAGCUCGUGUCGUGAGAUGUUGGGUUAAGUCCCGCAACGAGCGCAACCCUCGUCGCAUGUUGCCAGCACGUAAAGGGUGGGAACUCAUGUGAGACUGCCGGGGUCAACUCGGAGGAAGGUGGGGAUGACGUCAAAUCAUCAUGCCCCUUAUGUCUUGGGCUUCACGCAUGCUACAAUGGCCGGUACAAAGGGCUGCAAUACCGUAAGGUGGAGCGAAUCCCAAAAAGCCGGUCUCAGUUCGGAUUGAGGU